AUACGGAGGGUGCAAGCGUUGUUCGGAAUCACUGGGCGUAAAGGGCGCGCAGGCGGCUUGGUAAGUCAGAUGUGAAAGCCCACGGCUCAACCGUGGAAGUGCAUUUGAAACUGUCAGACUUGAGUACUAGAGGGGAAAGUGGAAUUCCCGGUGUAGAGGUGAAAUUCGUAGAUAUCGGGAGGAAUACCGGUGGCGAAGGCGACUUUCUGGCUAGAUACUGACGCUGAGGCGCGAAAGCGUGGGGAGCAAACAGGAUUAGAUACCCUAGUAGUCC
rnacentral:rRNA from 1 species